rnacentral:rRNA from 1 species
GAUGAACGCUGGCGGCGUGCCUAAUACAUGCAAGUCGAGCGAACAGACGAGGAGCUUGCUCCUCUGACGUUAGCGGCGGACGGGUGAGUAACACGUGGAUAACCUACCUAUAAGACUGGGAUAACUUCGGGAAACCGGAGCUAAUACCGGAUAAUAUAUUGAACCGCAUGGUUCAAUAGUGAAAGACGGUUUUGCUGUCACUUAUAGAUGGAUCCGCGCCGCAUUAGCUAGUUGGUAAGGUAACGGCUUACCAAGGCAACGAUGCGUAGCCGACCUGUGAGGGUGAUGGGCCACACUGGAACUGAGACACGGUCCAGAGUCCUAGGGGAGGCAGCAGGAGGGAAUCGGGAGCAAGGGGCGGAAACCGGACGGAGCAACGCGGAGGGAGGAAGGAAGAACUUCGGAUCGUAGAACUAUGUUAUUAGGGAAGAAAAAAUGUGUAAGUAACUAGGAACGUCUUGACGGGAACUAGUCAGAGAGGCACGGCUAACUACGUG